GCCGGGAUAGCUCAGUUGGUAGAGCAGAGGACUGAAAAUCCUCGAGU
rnacentral:tRNA from 1 species